CGGAGUUCUUAUUUUCAUAAGGAAAAUUUGCCAAUUACUAACUAGGAUUUUGGUGACUUUGCAAAUUACUACCUAGCUUGUUAAAAGUUGUCAAUUACUACCUAGGUCUUUAGUUAUUGAUGUCACUUACUACAAAUUUCGGACAAUUAGUCACUAAUCAUCUCCUAAUCAACCGUUAAUUAUAUUUUAAUUAAAAAUUUAAAAUAAAAUAAAAAAAUUCAAAACUAAGUAAGUUAUUUCCAUCAAAAAAAAAAAAAAUUCAAAUACCAGAAAAAAAAAAAAAAAACUCCUAAAAUCGCUACUUCCUCUUAUGUUUUUUUUCUACUGCCAUUAUUGUUAGAGCUUCUCUUAUGAUUUUUCUACUGUUCUUCAUCCAAAAACACGAAAUUUGCUAAUUUACAUGCUAAUUUGCUGCUAGUCGUUCUCUCUCUGCUCGAUCUCUUUGCUGGCGUCUCUGCCUAUCUCCCUUCUCCUCUCUUUAAUUUUGGCGGCAUUGCAUUACUGCUUUUGCUAAUUCUCCUUCUCCUUCUCUAACGAGCGAAAUUGUAUUCUUGCUCUUUCUACUGAGGUUCGUUUUCUUGCAAACCACAUUUCGUGUAUAGAGGAGAGGACGCGUAUACUUUAUAUGGUAUGAUGAGGAAAUGACAUUUUGGCAGAUAGCAGUAGCUGGAUCAAAGGAGCUAUGAAAGGAGAAUAAAUAGCUCAUGAAUAAUAGUAGUAGCAGAGUUAAUGAGAAGAGAGAACUUCGUUAUUGUUUUGGUGAUUUUGGGAUUAUUCUUUUCCCCAUUUUUUUUGGUAAUUUGUAGUGGGAAUUUGUUAAAUUUGAGACUUUUUUAAAUUAAUUACGGAGUUUAUUUUUUCGA